AGUACUUCAGUCAGUCAGACAGUCAGUUCAGCCUGUUUUAUAUGCUUUAGCAGGGAGGAGAAUGCGUUACCUCUGUCGUUCCUGACAGUUUUUGGUUUAUCAGAGUGGACAAUGUUGAGCGGCCUCUAUAGGGUCUGGAAAACGCCUUUGCAACUGAAAUCAAAAAAGCAACAUAUUGUCUCUGAAGAUGGUUAAGACGUUGUCAGAUAAAGAAAAGUGCGAAACACCUUGACCACAGACCAAGAAGCCAAGAGGUAAGCCGUAAUUGGGAUAAUUUUAGUCAGUACACU
rnacentral:misc_RNA from 1 species